UGUGAGGACUGGUUCAGUAAUCACUGGAAAGGUGAACCCACUGACAAACUAUUCAGAAAUGAACUGGUCCUUUCCAUGGAUUAUACAAUUUCUGGACUCUUGAGACAAUGGAUAGAAGUGAUGGGGGGUAUUUUGCUAAUGCCUGGACAAUCUGAUAACAUCACCGAAGGUGUCUUCUCAUCUUCACACAUCCAGGAAACACAAAUCUCUCUUGCUUUGCUGACAACUGAAAUAAGGUCAAAACUAGAAAUUCUUCAAG